rnacentral:rRNA from 1 species
UACGGAGGUGGCAAGCGUUGUUCGGAAUCAUUGGGCGUAAAGCGCGUGUAGGCGGCUUGGCAAGUCGGUUGUGAAAUCCCGGGGCCCAACCCCGGAACUGCAUUCGAAACUGCCUCGCUAGAGUCCCGGAGAGGAAGGCGGAAUUCCCGGUGUAGAGGUGAAAUUCGUAGAUAUCGGGAGGAACACAAGCGGCGAAGGCGGCCUUCUGGACGGUGACUGACGCUGAGACGCGAAAGCGUGGGGAGCAAACAGG